UACGAAGGGGGCUAGCGUUGCUCGGAAUGACUGGGCGUAAAGGGCGCGUAGGCGGCGACAUCAGUCAGAUGUGAAAUUCCUGGGCUUAACCUGGGGGCUGCAUUUGAGACGGUGUUGCUUGAGUCUGGAAGAGGGUCGUGGAAUUCCCAGUGUAGAGGUGAAAUUCGUAGAUAUUGGGAAGAACACCGGUGGCGAAGGCGGCGACCUGGUCCGGAACUGACGCUGAGGCGCGAAAGCGUGGGGAGCAAACAGG
rnacentral:rRNA from 1 species